CUACGGGAGGCUGCAGUGGGGAAUAUUGGACAAUGGGCGAAAGCCUGAUCCAGCAAUGCCGCGUGAGUGAUGAAGGCCUUAGGGUUGUAAAGCUCUUUUACCAGGGAUGAUAAUGACAGUACCUGGAGAAUAAGCUCCGGCUAACUCCGUGCCAGCAGCCGCGGUAAUACGGAGGGAGCUAGCGUUGUUCGGAAUUACUGGGCGUAAAGCGCACGUAGGCGGCAUAUCAAGUCAGGGGUGAAAUCCCGGGGCUCAACCCCGGAACUGCCCUUGAAACUGGUAAGCUAGAAUCUUGGAGAGGCGAGUGGAAUUCCGAGUGUAGAGGUGAAAUUCGUAGAUAUUCGGAAGAACACCAGUGGCGAAGGCGACUCGCUGGACAAGUAUUGACGCUGAGGUGCGAAAGCGUGGGGAGCAAACAGGAUUAGAUACCCCAGUAGUC
rnacentral:rRNA from 1 species